CUUGACCGAGCCGAGCAGCAGCGGCUCGGCGCGGUCCUGACCGUAGGUGGCGAGCAGGGCCUGGGCCUC
rfam:Actinophytocola xinjiangensis strain CGMCC 4.4663 contig26, whole genome shotgun sequence.